rnacentral:rRNA from 1 species
UACGGGGGGUGCAAGCGUUGUUCGGAUUUACUGGGCGUAAAGGGCGCGUAGGCGGUCAGCACAAGUCAGUUGUGAAAUCUCCGGGCUUAACUCGGAACGGUCAGCUGAUACUGCUUUGCUAGAGUGCGGAAGGGGCAAUCGGAAUUCUCGGUGUAGCGGUGAAAUGCGUAGAUAUCGAGAGGACCACCUGAGGUGAAGACGGGUUGCUGGGCCGACACUGACGCUGACAGCGCGAAAGCCAGGGGAGCAAACGGG